rnacentral:misc_RNA from 1 species
AAGCCAUGAUAAGUGAUAAAAGAAUGGUCUUGCAACUGGGUUUGAAGAUGGUAAUGUGACACAACAGUCCUUCAAAUUUAGAACAUAUGUAACAAUUGGGUUAAGGAAAUCAUCCAAUCUGAGUUGAGUUUUGGAAUUUCCCCCUCACUUCCCUUGACUUAGAUGGGUUCCUUUUGUUGAGAAUUUAACCAAAUCUUUGGUGGAGUGUUGUUGCAGAAAUUUUCCUCUUGCCUCUCCCUGUCUUCGUACUCCUCCACUUUUCCCUUCUCUCUUCUCUUUCACUUGAACUAAUGGCUAGAGAGGUUUCAUUGGUACAUAUAGUGAUGAGAGUGGAGUGGGCUGCACUAGAAAUUGGAGGGGAAAAUAUGACAGCCACACAACUCUCUCCUUCAAUUUUAGUGUUUUCAGGUGGAGAUUGCGGUGAAUCAAUUGGUUAUGGACAAUUAAGGGUAAGGGAAUGCUAUUAGAGAUGAAAAUGGACAAUGAUAAGAGGGAAAUUCCACCGAAAAAUUUGUUGGGUGUUCAAGGUCUAGGUCAUGGCUUGGCCAAAUCUCCUCGUUUUCCGACCUUUUUCCCGAUUCUAGACUCUUCCUCUAUUCUUUUCUCAUUUUCUUU